GAAAUGCGAUACGUAGUGUGAAUUGCAGAAUUCCGCGAAUCAUCGAGUCUUUGAACGCAAGUUGCGCCCGAGGCUUGUCCAAGGGCAUUUCCGCUAGAGCGUCACC
rnacentral:rRNA from 4 species